AGCAGCCGCGGUAAUUCCAGCUCCAAUAGCGUAUAUUAAAGUUGUUGCAGUUAAAAGCUCGUAGUUCGAAUUUCGGGAUCAAAGAAUCGGUCAUGCCUUGGUAUGUACUGGUUUUAUUGGUUCUCACCUUCUAAAGAACCAUGAUGUCAUUCAUUUGAUGUUAUGGGAAUUAGGACUGUUACCUUGAAAAAUUAGAGUGUUUAAAGCAAGCUUACGCUUGAAUACAUUAGCAUGGAAUAAUGAAAUAGGACAUCAGAUUCUAUUUUGUUGGUUUCUAGGAUCGAUGUAAUGAUUAAUAGGGAUAGUUGGGGGCAUUAGUAUUCAAUUGUCAGAGGUGAAAUUCUUGGAUUUAUUGAAGACUAACUACUGCGAAAGCAUUUGCCAAGGAUGUUUUCAUUAAUCAAGAACGAAAGUUAGGGAUCGAAGACGAUCAGAUACCGUCGUAGUCUUAACCAUAAACUAUGCCGACUAGGGAUCGGAUGAUGUUAAUUUUUUAAUGACUCAUUCGG
rnacentral:misc_RNA from 1 species